CAGGAGUGGAAACUGGGGUAGUAAGUUUCCAUGGGGGUGUGUGGUCAGUGGUGCUUGAGGGGGAAAUCUGGAAAGGUCCGAGUCUGGGAGGUCCCAGAUUUUACAAUACGCUUCGUUGAGUAUCUCUGAAAGAUGUUGGACAACUAAAGCUCAUCAAAAGUUGUGGGCAUGGAAAGCAGGAGAAACGGGAAAAUACAUCUCCAAAAGAAGUGCCCUUUCGUUGUUUUGGCAUAGGAGGGCAUGAUGACGACGAAAAGGGUUUUUGUCCCCUGAGGAGUCUGGAAUAAUGAACCAUUGCUGGACAUCAUUUGGCCUUUCCAUUUCUUCACAGCUACCAAGAGCCUCACAACUUCACUGCACCUUCCCUGGUUUUUACUGAACGAAAUGCUUGAGAGCACCUCUUGUAUGAUAGACAGUGGGUUGGCGCUCAAGAUGCAAAGUUGAACAAGACACAGUGCCUGCACUCAAGAAGUUCCUGGCCACACCAUGCAGCAUGUGGGAUCUUAGUUCCCCGACCAGGGAUCGAACCCGGGCCCUCUGCGGUGGGAGCGCAGAGUCUUAACCACUGGACCGCCAGAGUUGUAUGAAGGCUGUGUCGAUGAAAAUGAGAAAAUGAGACAGCUCAGCCAUUUUCUUCAUUAAUCACAGUAGAGUCUACAACCCCAAGAGGGAGCCAGACAAAAGUUCCUGAGGAUAAAAUGCUUCGGACCUAUAUUAAACUAACAGAAAGCCAAACUCAAGCAUUAGCUCUUUGAUGGCUCAUUGUAUUGGAAAACAAGCCUCAGAAUUCAUCACACUGGACACCGAUCACGGAGUUUCGCGCAGACGCUGGUGUAUUCUAUUCUGCAGCCGCCCCCUGGUCCUGCUGUUCACAUCUGGAUCAAUCUUCUGAAUCCUGGCAGCCUGAGCUGGUGUUUCGCUGAGGGAUGUUUACUCUCACACAGCUGUUCAGCAGUAGGAGCAGAAAAUCAACUCAGAUGCAAUUAAUACCAUGUUGUAAUGAGGAGACAUCACCAAAAGAAACAGUUGCUGAAUUGAUUCCGAUGAUGCCGAGGAAGGGCCUCUGUGCAUGCCAUGCGUAAUAAAGGUAAUAAAAAGAUUUCCUUCCCUUUCAGGUCACCACAGAGCACUGAGCAGAGUUUCCUGUGCUAUACGGCUGGCAGCGUGCCAACAAGAACUGGAAUUCAUUUUCGGAACAAAGGAGGACACGUAGGUCCUUUCCUCCCAGAAGAAGGCACGGAUGUUGAAUAACCAUGGAUGUGACUAGACAUGGAACUCAGCCAGGAGCAGCAUGAGGGCACCUGGGAGAGGGCGCUUGAAGGCAAGGACGCUCAAGGGAGGGGCAUAUGGAGAAGGGGGAGGAGUAAAGGACAAAGGAAAGUAGGUUUUCCUGUUCCCACGUUUUCGUUGUUUUAUUACAUCUCUCCUCCCACAGUUUUGGUUCACUUUUCCUCAUUUUGCUUUGUUUUAUAGUUUUUAAUCUCCUUCCUGAGUUUCUCCUGUUCUACUUCCUGCAGUGCCCUUAUAGGCACAUUUCUUCUUGAACUGCUGAGCAAUUUUUCUCUGCUACAUUGUCCUGGAGAAGUUUCCCCUGGUGAACUUUCUCCAGUUAUCUGCCUAUUGGUUUUAGAUAUUCUUCACAUUUGCCUGUGUUGUUUGGGAUUCUGGAUUUGAAGCAAACAUUGACUCCUUUGCAUUCUGAGUCUCGAAAGAUGAUAUUUCAGAGCUUAGUGCCUUCACUCCUUCUAUCUGAAGCGUCUGAACCUAAAAGAAUUCCCCAAAUUUGACACUCCACAUUUAUGAGCAUCUUGUAAUAGCAAUGGUGGAUGUUAUCAUGUGUCUAUUACCUUGAAGACUGCAAAGUGUAUCUGCAGGGCUUGCCUCACGGAGCUGCCCAAUCUGCCUGCUGUGUAAAGGUUCCAGGUACCUGAUGUUUCUACCCUCCUUAUCAUUGUAAACUCAUGGGUAGAAAUGCCACUAAUUCCUCCUUUCCAAACUUCGCCCCCUUGUUGAAGAAUGCUCUGCACACAAUGGGCACUCAGUUUUCUAAAUGGUAACUCUCAAUCCUGAACUUAAA